rnacentral:rRNA from 1 species
ACAUGCGCAAAUACUAUGUCGUUUCCUCUCUUUAUGGGAGGGUGGUGAUAUAGUAGUGUUUAUUAGAUACAGAACCAACACAUCAUUAUUAUCAUUCUAUGAUGAUAGUGAUGUAAAAUAAGGUGAUUCAUAGUAACCGAACGGAUCGCAUUAUAAUUAUCAUUAUUUGAUGAUUGGCGAUAGAUCAUUCAAGUUUCUGACCUAUCAGCUUUCGACGGUAGUGUAUUGGACUACCGUGGCAGUGACGGGUAACGGGGAAUUAGGGUUCGAUUCCGGAGAGGGAGCCUGAGAAACGGCUACCACAUCUAAGGAAGGCAGCAGGCGCGCAAAUUACCCAAUCCUGACUCAGGGAGGUAGUGACAAGAAAUAACAACACUGGAAAUUUGAUUUCUAGUGAUUGGAAUGAUGGGAAUCCAAACCCCUUUCAGAGUAACAAUUGGAGGGCAAGUCUGGUGCCAGCAGCCGCGGUAAUUCCAGCUCCAAUAGCGUAUAUUAAAGUUGUUGCAGUUAAAAAGCUCGUAGUUGGAUGUCUGUUGGAAGCAAUCAUCAGUCCGCCCUAUUUGAUUAGGGUGUGAAUAUGAUGAAUUCCGGCAUAAUUGUCUCCCUAUUAUCAAUAUAUAAGAUGAUCAUUAUUAGAUUCAUUUCUAAUAAUGCGUCUACUAUAUUAUUGGUAGUAUGGGAGAAAUGUUACUUUGAGAAAAUUAGAGUGUUUGAAGCAGGCUUUUGUUGCCUUGAAUACUGCAGCAUGGAAUAACAAUAUAGGAUUUCGGUUCUAUUUUGUUGGUUUUUUUUAGGACUGAAAUAAUGAUUAAUAGGGACAGUUGGGGGCAUUCGUAUUUAACUGUCAGAGGUGAAAUUCUUAGAUUUGUUA